CCUACGGGUGACAGCAGUGAGGAAUAUUGGUCAAUGGACGCAAGUCUGAACCAGCCAUGCCGCGUGCAGGAAGACGGCCCUAUGAGUUGUAAACUGCUUUUGUACGAGGGUAAACGCAGAUACGCGUAUCUGUCUGCAAGUAUCGUACGAAUAAGGAUCGGCUAACUCCGUGCCAGCAGCCGCGGUAAUACGGAGGAUUCAAGCGUUAUCCGGAUUUAUUGGGUUUAAAGGGUGCGUAGGCGGUCGGAUAAGUUAGAGGUGAAAUCCCGAGGCUCAACUUCGGAAUUGCCUCUGAUACUGUUCGGCUAGAGAGUAGUUGCGGUAGGCGGAAUGUAUGGUGUAGCGGUGAAAUGCUUAGAGAUCAUACAGAACACCGAUUGCGAAGGCAGCUUACCAAGCUACUUCUGAUGUUGAGGCACGAAAGCGUGGGGAGCAAACAGGAUUAGAUACCCCUGUAGUC
rnacentral:rRNA from 1 species